UGAAGAUAAACACAUUGUUGUUGUUUUUUUGUGAUUUCUUUCUUUUAUUUGGCUAACGGGAUAAAUCCUUGCCUGCCAGGCAUUCUGUACACUGAAGUGGAAAGUUUCAUUGUUUAGUAUUUAUUAUCCAAUUAUUCCAAUUUUCAUACCCACCUUUUUUUUCACACCGGUGAUUUAUAGUAUUAAACGUUUCCAGGGUCUAGCCAGUCAUAUUAAUUUCCUUUGCACACAUCAUAGGGGAUGGAUUCUCAUACUGUAUAUCAAUCACUACUUCUCUGUGUGUUCUCUAUCUUGCAGAAAAUUGAAAUUACUGUAUCUAUCACUUUCCCCAUGCCAAAUGUCAUUAUUUUAGUUCACAUACCCAUAAUGUCUCUUCUUUGACUCAUAAAAGCCAUGGUAAUGUAACUUUCAGUUUCUUCUCAUUUCAGUUAAAACUUGCUUUCACCAUCAGGGUUUUCUACUGGUUCUUUCUCCUGAAGUCACAUUUCCAAGUCACAUUUACACAGCUCAAGCUUCCAGUUAUUCUUCUUCCUAGAGUGGACUCAUUUCCAUUUGUCUCUGCAGUGAGUACUUCCAGAACUAUAUAAAAUAUAGGGGUAGAGGCAGCAGCAUCAAGAGCCCUGUGGACAUUCUUUGUUCCAGGAAUCCAUUCCUGACUUUUUCUUGCAGGGGUCCUUGGGGAGGAAACCGCGGCAGGUGGGGAGGCAUAAACCUGAAAGCCCUCCUUGCAUUGUCAGUGGGGAGGCUUAUAGCCUGAGGAAAGGUGUCAGCUCUGCUCACCAGCUGCCUGGAAACAAACUCGGUGCUGUUGAGGGGAGACAUAGUGGGAGUGAGACUGACCUUUUGGGCUGCCUGCGAGCUGGGUGAGACCUGUCAUUGCUGGCUUUCCCUCACUUCCCUGGCAACUUGUAUGAUGCAGCAGAGGCAGUCAUAAUCCCCCCUGGGAACAUACCUCCAUCAGCCUGAGAACCACACCCAGUCCUCCACAGCAGCAGCAAACCCUGCCCAAGGGGAGUCUGAGCUCAGACACCCUGCCCCCACCUGAUGGUCUUCCUUGCCUGCCCUGGUGGGCAAAGACAAAUGACAUGAUCUCUUGGGAGCUCUAUGGCCCCGCCCACUGCCUGAGCAACCUGAAUACUUAUUCAGGCCACCCUAGGACAAAAUUGUAUCCUACCUUAUAUGACCACAGCUGAUACUCUCUUGAAAGCACCACCUCUGGGCUGUAGACCAAGCAACAGAAAGCCAAUGCACUAAACAAAAACACAACCAAGGACCCUCACAGAGUCAACUGCACUUCCCUGCUGCCUUCACUAGAGCAGGUGCUUGUAUGCAUGGCUGAGAGACCUGAAGAGAGAUUGCAUCACAGGACUCGUUGCAGGCACUCCUCAGUACUAGCCCAGAGCCUGGUAGCUCUGCUGGGUGGCUAGACCCAGAAGACAAGUAACAAUCACUGCAGUUUGGCUCUCAGGAAACCUCAUCCACAGGGGAAAGGGGAGAGCGCCACAUCAGGGGAGCACUCUGUGGGACCAAAGAAUCUGAGCAACCGUCCUUGAGCCCCAGAUGUUUCCUCUGACAUAGUCUACCCAAAUGAGAAGGAACCAGAAAACCAGUUCUGGUAAUAUGACAAAACAAGUUUCCUUAACACCCCCAAAACAUCACACUAGCUCACAAGCAAUGGAUCCAAACCAAGAAGAAAUCUCUGAAUUGCCAGAAAAAGAAUUUGGAAAGUCAAUCAUUAAGCUACUCAAGGAG
rnacentral:lncRNA from 1 species